rnacentral:misc_RNA from 1 species
GUAAAUACUGAGCUCUCUCUCUCGAUCACUCACCUCCUGUUGCUGCAGCUGCAGCUGCUUCCUCCUUCGUUCACUAAGCAACAUCCCUAACUCUUCGCUAAAAUCAUUGCUUCCUCCUAGCAUUGAUCGCAUUCCAAUUUCCGACAUCAUCUUCGCAUAACCAUCAGUAAUCAUCGCAUAAACACAUAAAAUUAAGCUAAAUCUCAACAAAAACACCUCAAAAUUGUCCAAAAAACUCAAAAACUCAGCUCAAAUUAGCUCACAAACUCAUAAAUUUCCAUUAAUUUUAAGCUAAACAACCAUAACAUCAACCGAUUCAAUCCAGAUUUUCAUAGAAACGAGCG